GCUCUGGUGGCUUAGUUGGUUAAAGCGUCGGUCUCAUACCUGCAAUUCCCUGGUCACACACAGGUGUAUUGCACAGACAUCCGAAGGUCGUGAGUUCGACUCUCACCCAGAGCA